GCAACUGAGACUUUCUGCUCCCAACUCCUGGGCAGCGGGAAGACCCGGGUGGAGCAGUUUCACAUUGCUGAGGUGUCCAAAGAGGAAGUCUCCCCAAUUUGGGGCUCCCCCUCCCUGCAGGACCACAGUCUGGCCCAAGCAGAAACCCCAGAGCCAGAGGGAAUGGCCCCUGAGACCCAGAGGCCCUCUUCCCAGGGGUCAAUAACAUUCAAGGAUGUGGCUGUGUACUUCACCCAGGAAGAGUGGGGCCUAUUAGACCAUUCCCAGAAGGAGCUGUACCUAGAGGUCAUGAUGGAGAAUGUGCAGAAUCUACUCUCUGUGGGUAAGGGAUAUUUCCACUGUUAACUCUCAAUUUGCCAUUAAGGGAAUGUCUUGAUUCCAAGCUAGAUGCACAGGAUUUUGUAGCCAAAGAAAAAUCUAACCAUAGAAAAUAUAUGAAGAGGCAAAGAAGGGCAAGGCACACACUGAGCUAGGGAUUGGGAUAUAAAAACCUCUACAUGCAAAACAUCAAUUAAUAAUGGUAAUUGGUCUCAGGUGCUGGAAGAGUUCAAAAAGGAAUUAAAAAAUGAAAUGAGUGAAGUCGAAGAAAAAUGGGGAAAACAAAUGAAAGUAUUGCAAAAAGAAAAUGAGAGCUGAAAAAGCACAAUUGGCUAAGUGGCAAAAGAAGAAGCACAAAAAUGCAAUAAAGAAAAGAAUUUCAUAAAAAGUAGUGUUGUCUAUCUGGAAAAAAAAGGGUAAAAAAAUCCAAUUUAGAAAAGAGUUCCAGGAAAAGUAAAAUGGACCAAAUGGAAAAGGAGGAUCAAAAGGUCAUGGAAGAAUAUCCUUCUUUUAAAAUUAAAUUGCACAUAUAGAAGGUAAUGCCUUCAUGAGACCUCAAGAAACAACAAAACAAAAUCAAAAGAAUUUAAAAAUAGAAGAAAAUAUGAAAAAUAUGACUGAAAAAACACCUGACCUAUAAAAUAGAUGCAGGAAAAACAUUCUAAGGUUUAUUAGACUACUUCCUCCACCCCCUCAAAAAAAGCCUAGAUAUCAUAUUAUGUGAAAUUUUCAAAGAAAACUGCCUUGCUAAUCUGGAAUUAUAGGUUAAAAGAGAAAUGGAAAGAAUCCACAGAUCGCCUCUGGCAAUAAAUCCCCAAAUGACAACUCCAAGGAAUAUUAUAGCCCAAUUUAAGAACUUACAUGCUAAGGAGAGAAUACUGCAGUAAGCCAGUAGGAAACAAUUCAGAUAUCAUGGAGCUCCAGUGUUAAUUAUAGAGGUUCUGAGAAAUUCUAUAUUAAAAGACCAAAAUUCUUAGAAUAUCAUAUUCUAAAAGGCAGGGAGACUGGGUUUAUAACCAUAAAUUACCCAUCCAUCAAGAUGGACUAUAUACUUUCAGGGAGAAAAGUCAUUAUUUAAUUAAAAAAAAAGAGAAGGUCUAAGUAUUACUGAUGA